AGAUGGGACAAACAGCGUUCGGAGCAGCAGGUGGCCCAGUCGUUGGUUUAUUUUUCCUUGGAUCAGUUUUCCCACAAGCUAAUAAAAAGGGGGCGCUUGCUGGAGGAAUUAUUGGUGUAGUUAUCAAUAUGUGGAUUGCUCUUGGAUCUUUUUUAUACGGCAAUAAAGCUCCAUUGUCACAGCCAGUCACUACUUCCGGUUGUUAUAAGAAUAACACAGUUGUUUCAGAACUGCACUUGGUUCCCACCACCGAAUAUUAUACUCUCGCUUCUUUAAAUCAUCCCAACUACAGUUACUCAACAUUGGAUACUUCUAAUGUAUAUCAUCAUAGUGAAAAUGGUCUUCAUAUAGCCCUUUAUGACCUGUCUUACAUGUGGCUAGGAUUAAUUGGUUUUCUUAUAUCAGUAACGAUUGGACUGGUAGUUAGCUUCAUAACAGGUAAAUAUUAUCAUCUGUCGGUUCGAAUCCCGUCAUGCACAACAUUGUUACCUCUUAUACUUCUAUUAUUAUUUCAUGUAUUAUUUAAUUAU